UACAGAGGUCCCAAGCGUUGUUCGGAUUCACUGGGCGUAAAGGGCGCGUAGGCGGUCGGAUAAGUCUUGUGUGAAAUCUUCGGGCUCAACUCGAAGUCUGCACAGGAAACUAUCUGGCUUGAGUGUGGGAGAGGUGAGUGGAAUUCCUGGUGUAGCGGUGAAAUGCGUAGAUAUCAGGAGGAACACCUGUGGCGAAAGCGGCUCACUGGACCACAACUGACGCUGAGGCGCGAAAGCUAGGGGAGCAAACAGG
rnacentral:rRNA from 1 species